GUAAUCUAUUUUGGGGAGGGGAAGGGCAUCAUGGGAUGCAUGAUCACAAGGGAGGGAUCAUUUAUUACAAACAGGCAUGAUCAUAAGAGUGGGGAGUAUUGGCUGCAGUGAG